UGGAUCGACAGCAGCUGUCCGCCAGGAUGCAUGUGCUCUGCCUUCCUAGGGGUUGGGCACGUGAUCAUGUGAUGGUGUCAACCCAAGAGAAGGGGUCUUAACAUGCAUGAAUACCAGAAAACGGCAACUGCAAAGGAAAAAGAUAAGAACAAGGGAAAAUUUAGUAUUUUAACUUUUUGCUUUCUGUAUGGGUAAGAACAAAACCCCAGAAACAGAGAGCAGGCUAAUUGGGUGAUCAAAGGCACAGGACAGGGGUUGGAGCACGCCAGGAGCUGACAGUCCUGUUAGCAGAAGCAUGUGAGCCGGGGAGCAGCUGUCCCCAGACCCCUGAGGUGCAGGAUGCGGGGCAUUGCGAACCACACGGGCCCCACCGUCCUCCCCACCUCGGGGUGAUGACAUUGUGGACUAAGGCUAACAUGCUUUUCCUCCAUCAAUCUUUGAAUGAAAUGUGGAUACUUUCUUCAGAGCCUGUCUUUAAGGCUGGUGCGAGAGCAGGCCUCGGGAGAGAUGACUGGGCAGCGUGCUGCCCGGCAGGCAUGUGCUUUUAGGCAGACACUAACUAAAACAUCCCAAACAAAUGAACACGGAGUGAGGAACAUGGCUGAGUCCAGGCCUCAGAUCCCAGAUAUGGCUCUGGGAGAAAGGAGACCUGGUCUGCAUCUCAGGAGGGCCAGAGCAAGUUCUGAGCUGCUCUGUGGCCAGGGUGGGCUCAUUUAUACCUGCAUUCCAACUCCCAGCCCUGUUCAGAAACAUCUAUUGAAUGAGCACAUGGAUGACAACAUGAAUGAAAUCACAGUAUAUUGCCUCAUUCCUGGGGUAUAUGAAAAACAGAGGGAAAGGAAUUCCAAGAUACUGUUUCACUGUUCCAGCCUGCCCUGUUCCACCCCAGGCCUCAUGACUGCACUCGGCUCCGCCCUGGCCCUGCCCCCUCUCGGGCAGUUACUAGCAUAAAGAUGCAAAGUCCAGGCAAAACAACUCUCAGUUCUGAAGGAACAAUAAGAAACGGUGAUGAAAGGAAAUACAUGAGUUUGCGGAAAAUUACUGUUCUGUCUGUUUCAUCUGCCUAUUUUAUGAAUAACUGCUGACAUCCCUUCAAUCUCCAUUGGCUGCUCCGAGCAGCUUCUCAGAGCUGGUUUUUUAUUUUCUUUCACAGUCUUUCUCAGAACUUUGCGAUCCCCAGAGGUUACAAAUCUGUGUUGGGUGCUUUCUCUGCUAAAGAAGAGUUUUCUAAUGGCACAACUGAGAUUUCGAAAAAGUCAGCUUUGAGAAUUUUCCUAAGUACUAAAUUGCGUGCACCAAAAGCAUUGGAAAGAAACCACACCUGCACGAGAAUUUCAAAGCCAGGGGGCUCUAUGACUGGCUGGAUGCUGGAGCCCUCCUUUAAAGGAUGGAGGCAACUUGGCCAACUGCAUAUUAUUUUCUAUGGCAGUGGCCCCCACUGUUCUCAGGCCAUGAAACUCGGGAAUGGAUUGUGGCUGUCACCCAGAGUCAAAGAGAUGGAUUGGCCAUGUUGCUUCAGGAUUCAGUCUUCUCAAAGCUUCUGACUCCAGACAGUGCCUCCCCAUUCUGCUGGCUGAGACAGGAGGGGUAUAAGACCAAAAAUCGAAGUGUGUAAGAUCCUGAAUUCCACUGCCUGGCAAGCAACUGAAACUGCAUUUAUCAUCAGCUCCUUCUCCCUGAUCUAUUUUCCCAUUAAAAAAUAAAGACUUGGAUCCUGCAA